rnacentral:rRNA from 1 species
GAUGAACGCUGGCGGCGUGCCUAAUACAUGCAAGUCGAGCGAACAGACGAGGAGCUUGCUCCUCUGACGUUAGCGGCGGACGGGUGAGUAACACGUGGAUAACCUACCUAUAAGACUGGGAUAACUUCGGGAAACCGGAGCUAAUACCGGAUAAUAUAUUGAACCGCAUGGUUCAAUAAUGAAAGACGGUUUUGCUGUCACUUAUAGAUGGAUCCGCGCCGCAUUAGCUAGUUGGUAAGGUAACGGCUUACCAAGGCAACGAUGCGUAGCCGACCUGAGAGGGUGAUCGGCCACACUGGAACUGAGACACGGUCCAGACUCCUACGGGAGGCAGCAGUAGGGAAUCUUCCGCAAUGGGCGAAAGCCUGACGGAGCAACGCCGCGUGAGUGAUGAAGGUCUUCGGAUCGUAAAACUCUGCUAUUAGGGAAGAACAAAUGUGUAAGUAACUAUGCACGUCUUGACGGUACCUAAUCAGAAAGCCACGGCUAACUACGUG